rnacentral:tRNA from 1 species
UAGAAGGGGAAUAAUUAAAGCUGCUAACUUUGAUUGGGGGUAAAUAAUACUCCACUUCUAC